ACCUGCGGAAGGAUCAUUAUUGAAAUAAACCUGAUGGGUUGUUGCUGGCUCUCUAGGGAGCAUGUGCACACCUUGUCAUCUUUAUAUCUCCACCUGUGCACUUUUUGUAGACCUUUCAGGUCUAUGUUGCUUCAUUUACCCCAAUGUAUGUUAAUAGAAUAGUUGUGCCUAUAUAAUAUAUACAACUUUCAGCAACGGAUCUCUUGGCUCUCGCAUCGAUGAAGAACGCAGCGAAAUGCGAUAAGUAAUGUGAAUUGCAGAAUUCAGUGAAUCAUCGAAUCUUUGAACGCACCUUGCGCUCCUUGGUAUUCCGAGGAGCAUGCCUGUUUGAGUGUCAUUAAUAUAUCAACCUUCUCUUUAUUGAGUUGUUUGGAUGUGGGGGUUUGCUGGCCUCUUAAAUGAUUCAGCUCCCCUGAAAUGCAUUAGCAGAACAACCUGUUCAUUGGCGUGAUAAUUAUGCUAUGCUAUUGAAUGUGAGGGCAGUUCAGCUUUCUAACCGUCACUAGGAC
rnacentral:rRNA from 1 species